rnacentral:lncRNA from 1 species
GUCCAUUUUUAGCGAUUUUUUCUAUUUCUCAUAAGUCGGCAAAAAACAGCAAAAAAGUAAAGCUAUAGGCUUAACUUUUCGUCCAUUUUUAGCGAUUUUUUCUAUAUCUCAUAAGUGGGCAAAAAACAGCAAAAAAGUAAGGCUAUAGGCUUAACUUUUCGUCCAUUUUUAGGGACUUUUUCUAUUUCUCAUAAGUGGGCAAAAAACAGCAAAAAAGUAAGGCUAUAGGCUUAACUUUUCGUCCAUUUUUAGCGAUUUUUUCUAUUUCUCAUAAGUGGGCAAAAAACAGCAAAAAAGUAAGGCUAUAGGCUUAACUUUUCGUCCAUUUUUAGCGAUUUUUUCUAUUUCUCAUAAGUCGGCAAAAAACAGCAAAAAAGUAAGGCUAUAGAUAGGCUUUACUUUUCGUUCAUUUUGACGACUUUUUUCAUAGAGGGACAAAAAAACAGCAAAAAGGUUAGAUGCUGUUCUUCUUUGUUGUCUGUUCUUUCUUCAAUGUUCUUCUUUGAACAUUGGCUGUAGAUAUGUAGAUACUUGUACCCGAGCCAUUGCUUGUUUUGUUGUUCUGGGUACAAUGAAAUCUGGCAUAAAUCCUGGGGGGUCUAAAUGUUCAGUAUAUUUAGACAUUCCAUGUAUUUUCUGUUCAGUAGACUUUGAUAGCUUGAACGAAAGUUUAUAACAAUGAUUUUCUUUGCAAAAACUGUACUUUCGGAUUUCGUCGGCUUCUGAAUUUGAAAACCAGCGACUAGGUCCCCUCUCUUAUGGCGGGAAUCGCGACUCAAGGCGGUUGCAUGCGGAUAAUAUGGUCCGUCGCGAGCGCAAAAUAGNNNNNNNNNNNNNNNNNNNNUUUUGCUGUUUUUUGCCCACUUAUGAGAAAUAGAAAAAAUCGCUAAAAAUGGACGAAAAGUUAAGCCUAUAGCCUUACUUUUUUGCUGUUUUUUGCCCACUUAUGAGAAAUAGAAAAAGUCCCUAAAAAUGGACGAAAAG